AGCUGAGGAGGAUUUUCUCAGUAGUGACCGGAUAUUGCGCAAUACAUCAAAGGGAUUGCGCCCGGGCAAGCCCAUGCAUGCCUCGGGCAAGCAGAAGCCAUUUAAUUGAUUGUGAUCUGCGCAUGCGCAAAUCCCCCUGUAUAAAGGAAUGGGCCAACCCGAAAGCUGCUCGAGCUGAGGAGGUCUGAGUUAAUUGGUAGGUGUGGUUAAUGAUUAUGGCCCAUCCUACAUACUAGUGUGCAAGGAGACUUAUUCUUGUUAACAAAUUGACUAUGGCUGGGACUUAAAAUAUUAAAGGACCUUCUUUCUUGAUAGCUUUGGGCGACGGGCCGUCUUUCACUAUCAUUGGGGACUUGUACUCAAUCCUGGAGGCUUACCUCAUCCAUUACAACUUGAGAUGGACUUUGAUGUGCACUAAUGAAGUCUUACUCCUUCUCAAGGGGAUAGAUCAUCUUUUAGCAAGAUAGGACAGCUUAUAUUCAUUAUAUCUUUUUAAUUGUACAACAUUACUGUAUAUACUGAGAUAUUUAGCUGUUGUUUUAAUUACUGUGUGGUGUGUAAACUGUUUUACCCAUAUUUUAGUGUAGUAUCAAGUUUAUUAUAACAAUAACAGUGACUAUUUAGCUAACUAUUA
rnacentral:lncRNA from 1 species